UUUUUUUUUUUUGUAUUUUUUUUUAAAUGUAUCUAAUUAGAUCUCUGAAGUCAUGAGAUUGGUCUUCCCUUGGAUAAGGCCUUCCUGGGGCUGGCUUUCCUGGAUAGUCUGAAAAAGUCUAUAUAAUUCAUAAUAUAUCACAAAUCUUUCACAGAUGUGGUGCUAAAUGUUGACUGAUGAGCAAAAUUGUUACCAUUAAUACAACCGAGAAGUGUCCUGUCUGCUGGGUGAUUACGUGAGUACGGUCAGAUGGGAACAUGUUUGGAACAACUGACUCAAAGCACAGCCAAUGCCAACAAAACAAAACAAAACAAAACUCCCUCCCAAAUAAACAAGUUUACAAAAGUAGGAGGUCAGAAAAUAGUUAUGUGAGAGGGUAAUACAGUAAGUGUAGACAUGGCAGUCUAUCUGUGAAGGAAAUUUAAUUCAUUCAAGAGAACCACCAAGAUUCUGGUAUUUGGAUGUGUUUUAAUAUACACAUGUACACACAUGAGUUCAGGACCAUUGAACUCAACAUAUAUACUCUAAGCAUAAUCUACAAUAACUUUACUCAGUAUAAUUCUUUCAAAAUACGCUUUGGGAAUUCAGAGAUUCACCAACCUGCUGAAUUUCUACUGGCCUGCCACCCGGGCUGAAGAAUUAAAGGAUUCACCACCAUUCAGGGCAAAGGCAGUGACAUCCUACACAUAAAGGUCUCCAGGACAGUGAAGGGACACUGAGAAGAAAGGCCUCCCCUGGUGUAAAUUGAAGGAUAUUUCAAAACUCAAGACUGGAUCCAUGGCCAUUCACCCCUGGCUUUUCUUCCUGCAAAUAGCAUUAUUUUUUUUUCUGAAGAACAAAGUCAUUAAUUAUCUUUUUGUUGUUGUUGUCUUUUUUUUUUUUUUGCCAUUUCUUGGACUGCUCCCGCGGCAUAUGGAGGUUCCCAAUUAGAGCUGCAGCCACUGGCUUACACCACUGCCAUGGCAACGCCAGUUCAGAGGCAGGUCUGUGACCUACACCACAGUUCAUGGCAACUCCGGAUCCUUAACCCACUGACGGAGGCCAGGGAUCGAACCUGUAUCCUCAUGGAUACUAGUCAUAUUCGUUAAUCACUGAGCCAUGACAGGAACUCCUGGGGGUCUUACAGCAGCAGAUGAUUUUACAUACCAAGGAGUACUUGCUGUGAUACUAAUGAAGAAAGACAAGCACAUGGAACUCUAGGGCUUUUAUUCCUUUUCCAUAAUUCUUCUUCAUUUGCUUAAAAAGAUUCCCGGUACACUCAUACAUACUGGAAAGUAUUUCUAAGAUCUGAUAGCUAAAAAUGUUCAUGUAUUGGAACAGAGUUAAACUAACACAGUCUUAAAAAAAUCAAGGUCAAGCAAACACCUUUAAUAUCAUGGAAAAGAUAGCAAAAUUAACACAUUAAAAAGAAAUCAAUACAGUGCCACUCACUCU
rnacentral:lncRNA from 1 species